AGAGUUUGAUCCUGGCUCAGGACGAACGCUGGCGGCGCGCCUAACACAUGCAAGUCGAACGGAGCUGAGAGGAGCUUGCUUUUCUCAGCUUAGUGGCGAACGGGUGAGUAACGCGUGAGUAACCUGCCCUGGAGUGGGGGACAACAGUUGGAAACGACUGCUAAUACCGCAUAAGCCCACGGCCCGGCAUCGGGCUGCGGGAAAAGGAUUUAUUCGCUUCACGAUGGACUCGCGUCCAAUUAGCUAGUUGGUGAGGUAACGGCCCACCAAGGCGACGAUUGGUAGCCGGACUGAGAGGUUGAACGGCCACAUUGGGACUGAGACACGGCCCAGACUCCUACGGGAGGCAGCAGUGGGGGAUAUUGCACAAUGGGGGAAACCCUGAUGCAGCGACGCCGCGUGGAGGAAGAAGGUUUUCGGAUUGUAAACUCCUGUCGUUAGGGACGAUAAUGACGGUACCUAACAAGAAAGCACCGGCUAACUACGUGCCAGCAGCCGCGGUAAAACGUAGGGUGCAAGCGUUGUCCGGAAUUACUGGGUGUAAAGGGAGCGCAGGCGGACCGGCAAGUUGGAAGUGAAAACUAUGGGCUCAACCCAUAAAUUGCUUUCAAAACUGCUGGCCUUGAGUAGUGCAGAGGUAGGUGGAAUUCCCCGGUGUAGCGGUGGAAUGCGUAGAUAUCGGGAGGAACACCAGUGGGCGAAGGCGACCUACUGGGCACCAACUGACGCUGAGGCUCGAAAGCAUGGGUAGCAAACAGGAUUAGAUACCCUGGUAGUCCAUGCCGUAAACGAUGAUUACUAGGUGUUGGAGGAUUGACCCCUUCAGUGCCGCAGUUAACACAAUAAGUAAUCCACCUGGGGAGUACGACCGCAAGGUUGAAACUCAAAGGAAUUGACGGGGGCCCGCACAAGCAGUGGAGUAUGUGGUUUAAUUCGAAGCAACGCGAAGAACCUUACCAGGUCUUGACAUCCGAUGCAUAGUGCAGAGAUGCAUGAAGUCCUUCGGGACAUCGAGACAGGUGGUGCAUGGUUGUCGUCAGCUCGUGUCGUGAGAUGUUGGGUUAAGUCCCGCAACGAGCGCAACCCUUAUUGCCAGUUACUACGAAAGAGGACUCUGGCGAGACUGCCGUUGACAAAACGGAGGAAGGUGGGGAUGACGUCAAAUCAUCAUGCCCUUUAUGACCUGGGCUACACACGUACUACAAUGGCGUUUAACAAAGAGAAGCAAGACCGCGAGGUGGAGCAAAACUCAAAAACAACGUCUCAGUUCAGAUUGCAGGCUGCAACUCGCCUGCAUGAAGUCGGAAUUGCUAGUAAUCGCGGAUCAGCAUGCCGCGGUGAAUACGUUCCCGGGCCUUGCACACACCGCCCGUCA
rnacentral:rRNA from 1 species